GACGAACGCUGGCGGCGUGCCUAAUACAUGCAAGUUGAGCGAUGAAGAUUGGUGCUUGCACCAAUUUGAAGAGCAGCGAACGGGUGAGUAACGCGUGGGGAAUCUGCCUUUGAGCGGGGGACAACAUUUGGAAACGAAUGCUAAUACCGCAUAACAACUUUAAACAUAAGGUUUAAGGUUGAAAGAUGCAAUUGCAUCACUCAAAGAUGAUCCCGCGUUGUAUUAGCUAGUUGGUGAGGUAAAGGCUCACCAAGGCGAUGAUACAUAGCCGACCUGAGAGGGUGGUCGGCCACAUUGGGACUGAGACACGGCACAAACUCCUACGGGAGGCAGCAGUAGGGAAUCUUCGGCCAGGGACGAAAGUCAGACCGAGCAACGCCGCGUGAGUGAAGAAGGUUGUCGGAUCGUAAAACUCUGUUGGUAGAGAAGAACGUCGGUGAGAGUGGAAAGCUCAUCAAGUGACGGUAACUACCCAGAAAGGGACGGCUAACUACGUG
rnacentral:rRNA from 1 species